rnacentral:lncRNA from 1 species
CCAAAGGCACUCUCCCGGCUUUCAUCUCAGUAAUGGCCUGCAGGCUGGAGCAGGACACAGGGGGUUAAAAAGUGGGGCUCAGAACCUGCCUUUUGGCCUGACUCACUCCAUCACCCCAAGGGCCCUCCAAAUGAGUUUCCUGGGGCAGUGCCUUUAUCACUGGAGCACACUCACGGAUGGACUUCCCGGCCCCGGGAUUCUCACUCGGAGACCUCUCAUGCGCUCUCGACCCAGCACGGGCCCCGUGCCCCUUCUCCCGCUCCAUCCCCGCCUUGUCCAAUGGGGCAGCACACCACGGACCCCGACUCCACACAGCCAGCCCCAUUAAUAAAGAGUUAAGAAAAUUCAUUAGGAAGUGCUUCAUGAUAUUGUGUGAGCUUCUAAUAAACGUCCAGUAAACCGCAGGUAGCGCCUCGGAGAGAGAUGGGCCCAUGCACCUGUCCACAAAGGGCCUCCACGCACCGCGCCUUCACCUUCUGUGGCCCAGCCCUGGCACGGUCAGCUCCUGAGCCCAGCCUGCCCCUCGGGACGCCCGCAGCUAAGACAAAGAUGUUGAAGACGAAUUGUUUGAAUGAAGCAAUCAGGAAAAAAAUAUUUGCAGAGUCAAGAAAGAUCAACAGAACAUGAAAAAAGGAAACAUGAAAAAUAAAAUACACACUAGAAAAAGUCUUUAUAUGAGAUUUUCUUUAAAAUAUUUUAACAUUUGACCUUCUACCUCGGUGUGCUAUUCUAAUCCCAUUUAGUUUCAAAAUGCCAUAACUAUCAGUGUGCAGAUGGAUGGGCUUUUUAAAAAAUGCCGUAACUAGAACUUCAAAUCUUGACCACUUUUUCUUACUUUUCCC